GUGGGGAAUUUUGGACAAUGGGGGCAACCCUGAUCCAGCAAUGCCGCGUGUGUGAAGAAGGCCUUCGGGUUGUAAAGCACUUUUGUCCGGGAAGAAAUCGCACCUGAUAAUACCGGGUGUGGAUGACGGUACCGGAAGAAUAAGGACCGGCUAACUACGUGCCAGCAGCCGCGGUAAUACGUAGGGUCCAAGCGUUAAUCGGAAUUACUGGGCGUAAAGCGUGCGCAGGCGGUUGUGCAAGACCGAUGUGAAAUCCCCGGGCUUAACCUGGGAAUUGCAUUGGUGACUGCACGGCUAGAGUGUGUCAGAGGGGGGUAGAAUUCCACGUGUAGCAGUGAAAUGCGUAGAGAUGUGGAGGAAUACCGAUGGCGAAGGCAGCCCCCUGGGAUAACACUGACGCUCAUGCACGAAAGCGUGGGGAGCAAACAGGAUUAGAAACCCUUGUAGUCC
rnacentral:rRNA from 1 species